UACGGAGGGUGCAAGCGUUAUCCGGAAUCAUUGGGUUUAAAGGGUCCGCAGGCGGGUCGAUAAGUCAGUGGUGAAAGCCUACAGCUCAACUGUAGAACUGCCAUUGAUACUGUUGAUCUUGAAUUCGGUCGAAGUGGGCGGAAUGUGUAGUGUAGCGGUGAAAUGCAUAGAUAUUACACAGAACACCGAUAGCGAAGGCAGCUCACUAGGCCUGGAUUGACGCUCAUGGACGAAAGCGUGGGGAGCAAACAGG
rnacentral:rRNA from 1 species